UUCCGCAUUCAAUUUAUAAUUUUAUUUUAUUUUAAGUUUUGGGCUGUUACAGUUGGUAUCAGAGUCGCGUUUAUUGGAACCAUUCUUUACACAAACACUUAAAAACACCAAAUACGAACUAUCGCCCAACCCUUCCUUGUGAAAAAUAAGUAGAAAGACACGAGGAGAUGAGGUCCAUUACUGAACAGGGCAACCCGAAAUAGGUCGCUUCGAGAGGAUGUCAAUCAGCUCUUUGAGAUUUUAGAGAGACUCAUCUCUAUCCAAUGGGCCAGAGAAGUGAGGAAGAAACUGUCUGAUCCUUCACCACUCUAACAAUAUGGGCCACCCCUACGAUGAGAGGAUCUAAAUCUGCCUCGAUGCAACCCUGCUCCUCCGUCGUAUCAUCCGAUACCGUUACAAUGCAAUUCAAAACCCCCACCGUAUCAUCCGGCUCCAUUAUAAGGCCACCUAGUCCCCCUCCUGCAAUAUAUGACCCCUCUUCCACGGGACUCAGUAUCACCCAUGAUGGACCUAAUAGAGAUUGACAUGGGGGACCCUGAUGUAUUUUCAAGAAU
rnacentral:lncRNA from 1 species